GGGCGCACGCGCGGGGCGGGCGGGGCGGUCACGUGGCGCGGACACCGCUGCCGCGGGCGCUCGGGCUGGCCGGGCACCCUGGCACGUGCGGCCGCGGCCGCAGGUAAAUAGAUGGGCUGGAAGGAGGAUUGGCCCGCCGAGUCGCCAAGGGGACCUUGGCCGCAGUCCCUGGCUGGAUGCCGCGGAACCUCAGGACAGUUGCAUGUGCUCUUUGGGUGCGAGAGGGGACGGCCUGCCCCUUUGCCCAACACUGUCUCUUCCUUGGGUCUGCUGCCAUCCUCACCGGACUUGGGUUCCUGCCCCGAAUUCCGUGGAGUCCCUCAGCCAUAGCUGCUCCCAUGACUAGAUGGUCCUUCACCUAGUCUCUUCUCUUCUGGACUCUUGUCUCUCCUGGCAGGUGCCCCCUGCCCUUGAAGCCCUCAGCUCCUUGCCUCCUCCUCAUGCCUUUCCCGGCCCCAGGCUGCAUUCCACCCAGUUUCUCUCUCAGGAUCUGAGAGGAACUUUUUUCCUUUUCUGUGUUUGAAUGCUCCCAAGUAUUGAUUACUUCAUCCUGACUUAUGUGUGUCCCCUCCCCGCUAGGACUGGGCUCCUGGAGGCAGGCACUGGAGCUACAGAACUGCUGGGCUCCCAGGAAGCAUUCAGUGUGUGACCCUGGCACUCCCUCCCAUGCCCCCUCUGUUCCAGCCACAGGCUUUGUCCUGUCUCCUCACCCAAAGUUCUGCUGGCUGUAGCUGGUGUUCAGAGCACAGGGGGACCUGCCCUGGCCCACCUGGCCAGCCUCAAGUCCCCCUGGGGGCACGGUGUGGGGAGGGGCCUUGGUGCCUGCUCAUCCUUCCCCCUUCCUGGGACCCCACCCAGGGUGGCAUGUUGGAUGCUGAGAAAGGGGCUUGGGUGGGGAGAGGAGAGGCCAGGAAUGGAGGAGACAGUGUUUGAGCUGGGGCAAAGAGUGGUAUCCAGGCCCUUACUGGUAACAGAUGGGGAACAGGCCAGAGUGUCUUGUCCUGGGUGCAUCCCUGUGGGUGGUCAUGCAUGCACACACGUGUUCUUCAGACAAGCUCGGACUGGUGAGAGUUAACAGCACAGUAGCAGGAGUUCAACAUCAGCAGGAACUCUCCCAGAAAGUCAACCAAAGAGACAAAAGGUGGGGGAAGAGAAAAUAAAGGAAAGGAAAAUGGAUGGAAGUUGUCCAGGAAAUAAUGGGAUAGUGGAGCCAGAGCCUCCAAACAGCUAGGACUCCACAACUUGUUCAGGGACUCAGGUGUCCUGGGACCACUAAGGGCUUUCAGGUCACAUUCCAAAGGAUCAGGAAGAAAGCCAAGCUUCCUAGGAAAAGUGAUGGCUGACCCCAAGGUCCAUAUCAAGAGGGAGGAGAAAUCAGGAUGUUUCAGGCCGGCAGGUCAUCACAGAUUAGCUUAAUAUACUGCAGGAUGCACUCCAGCAAAAAAAGGGAGUAAGUAAAUGAAGAAACAGGUGCUGCGCUAGGAAGGUGAGUUAUGUGGGGCUGGAUGAUCAUCUGAGGGGUUUGACUGAGGCCACUGAGGGUGUGAGGGGAACCGAUCAUCAGAAGCAGACUAUGAUUUUAAAAGAAGGCUGUCAGGCAAGAAAUGGACAAGAAUGGAGAGAGAAGGCGGAAUGGCGACUGUGGGGCCUUGAUUUCAACAUGCAGUUGGAGACACCUGAACAAUGACCUGCUGUAUGUACAUGUGGAUUUGUUCACGAUGGCCCUGUGGUGAUGUGAUUUAAAAGUCCUUUUAAUAAAAAAUAAAAGUCCUUUUAGAACUGCAA